rnacentral:rRNA from 1 species
GACGAACGCUGGCGGCGUGCUUAACACAUGCAAGUCGAACGGAAAGGCCCUGCUUUUGUGGGGUGCUCGAGUGGCGAACGGGUGAGUAACACGUGAGUAACCUGCCCUUGACUUUGGGAUAACUUCAGGAAACUGGGGCUAAUACCGGAUAGGAGCUCCUGCUGCAUGGUGGGGGUUGGAAAGUUUCGGCGGUUGGGGAUGGACUCGCGGCUUAUCAGCUUGCUGGUGGGGUAGUGGCUUACCAAGGCUUUGACGGGUAGCCGGCCUGAGAGGGUGACCGGCCACAUUGGGACUGAGAUACGGCCCAGACUCCUACGGGAGGCAGCAGUGGGGAAUAUUGCACAAUGGGCGGAAGCCUGAUGCAGCAACGCCGCGUGCGGGAUGACGGCCUUCGGGUUGUAAACCGCUUUCGCCUGUGACGAAGCGUGAGUGACGGUAACGGGUAAAGAAGCACCGGCUAACUACGUG